CGUUCAUCGCCUGGCCAAGGACGAGGACGACGACGUGGGGUGGAGCAUGUCAUCCCUCUGGUUAUCACCUUUCUUUCUGCUACUGGGCUGAGAUGAGGGUUUUCUCCACCGAUUGUGGUGGCCUGAGUCAAAGAUCGACAGCCAGAUGCUUGUGGCUACCACACAAAACGUGCUCUCUUGCUGACCUCGAGGUCCAGACGCAAUGGAUUGUCUCCAAGUGUGGAUCAUUGGAGCUAUCAUGAAGAUAAGCAAGCUGCUGGCUUCAGCAACGUCACAUUUUUGUACUGAUUAGUGAACUGGCAAGAUAGAAAAGUAAUUCUUCUACAUCCAGAUGAAUGGGAUGGAUAGUAGUUCUGCUAUGCAGAAUGGUAGUGUUUCCUACACGAUCUUUUGUUUGUCAUGUAUGCCAUCACUGAGUAUUGUAGAGGCUGUAGUAAUCUUACACUUUAUAUGGAUGGUUUGCAAGUUAAAGGUCUGCAAAAUAAUGUGCUAAACUCUUAUUUGUGGGCCAUGUUAGUUUGCUUGGUUUAAGUUCAGA